rnacentral:antisense_RNA from 3 species
UUUACGGGCGGGCCAUGAUGGGGAGGCGCUCGCGCCUGCCGGUUCCUACGUUCCGGUCUGCUAACCUCGUCAUGUGCCUGCCCACCCG